UCUCCAGACUCCUACGGGAGGCAGCAGUGGGGAAUAUUGCACAAUGGGGGGAACCCUGAUGCAGCGACGCCGCGUGGGUGAAGGAGUACUUCGGUACGUAAAGCCCUAUCAGCAGGAAAGAAAAUGACGGUACCUGACUAAGAAGCCCCGGCUAACUACGUGCCAGCAGCCGCGGUAAUACGUAGGGGGCAAGCGUUAUCCGGAUUUACUGGGUGUAAAGGGGGCGCAGACGGCGAUGCAAGCCAGGAGUGAAAGCCCGGGGCCCAACCCCGGGACUGCUCUUGGAACUGCGUGGCUAGAGUGCAGGAGGGGCAGGCGGAAUUCCUGGUGUAGCGGUGAAAUGCGUAGAUAUCAGGAGGAACACCGGCGGCGAAGGCGGCCUGCUGGACCGUGACUGACGUUGAGGCUCGAGAGCGUGGGGAGCAAACAGGGUUAGAUACCCGCGUAC
rnacentral:rRNA from 1 species